rnacentral:rRNA from 1 species
AAUGAACGCUGGCGGCGUGCCUAAUACAUGCAAGUCGAGCGAACGGACGAGAAGCUUGCUUCUCUGAUGUUAGCGGCGGACGGGUGAGUAACACGUGGGUAACCUACCUAUAAGACUGGGAUAACUUCGGGAAACCGUAGCUAAUACCGGAUAAUAUUUUGAACCGCAUGGUUCAAAAGUGAAAGACGGUCUUGCUGUCACUUAUAGAUGGAUCCGCGCUGCAUUAGCUAGUUGGUAAGGUAACGGCUUACCAAGGCAACGAUGCAUAGCCGACCUGAGAGGGUGAUCGGCCACACUGGAACUGAGACACGGUCCAGACUCCUACGGGAGGCAGCAGUAGGGAAUCUUCCGCAAUGGGCGAGAGCCUGACGGAGCAACGCCGCGUGAGUGAUGAAGGUCUUCGGAUCGUAAAACUCUGUUAUUAGGGAAGAACAUAUGUGUAAGUAACUGUGCUCAUCUUGACGGUACCUAAUCAGAAAGCCACGGCUAACUACGUG